GGGUGAUGCGAGGAUCAUUACUGAGUUUACGCUCUACAACCCUUUGUGAACAUACCUACAACUGUUGCUUCGGCGGGUAGGGUCUCCGCGACCCUCCCGGCCUCCCGCCUCCGGGCGGGUCGGCGCCCGCCGGAGGAUAACCAAACUCUGAUUUAACGACGUUUCUUCUGAGUGGUACAAGCAAAUAAUCAAAACUUUUAACAACGGAUCUCUUGGUUCUGGCAUCGAUGAAGAACGCAGCGAAAUGCGAUAAGUAAUGUGAAUUGCAGAAUUCAGUGAAUCAUCGAAUCUUUGAACGCACAUUGCGCCCGCCAGCAUUCUGGCGGGCAUGCCUGUUCGAGCGUCAUUUCAACCCUCAAGCUCUGCUUGGUGUUGGGGCCCUACAGCCGAUGUAGGCCCUCAAAGGUAGUGGCGGACCCUCCCGGAGCCUCCUUUGCGUAGUAACUUUACGUCUCGCACUGGGAUCCGGAGGGACUCUUGCCGUAAAACCCCCCAAUUUUCCAAAGGUUGACCUCGGAUCAGGUAGGAAUACCCGCUGAACUUAAGCAUAUCAAUA
rnacentral:rRNA from 1 species